GAUGUGCGGCUGAACUACCUCUUGAGUGCGCGACAACAUUUCCGGUCCAUGUUAAUGCACGACUUUCCAAAUCAAUUUAGUUUUUAUUGCUAAAAAUGGUAUCCAGUAAAGCUGUUAGUAUAGCCGCAGGAGUUGCUGGAACUCUCUUCGUUGGUUAUUGUAUCUAUUUUGACAGAAAACGACGGAGUGACCCAAAUUUCAAAAAAAAUCUCAGAGAAAAGAGGGAGAAGACUAAGUCUAUCAGUAAGAGAAAUGUACAGCUUCCUGACUUCAAA